CCAAGUUUUUCUGGUUGUUCUGCUGUGAGGCCGAGCCACACGUGGACGAGAGGAGGGGCCUGGGAGUGCUGGUCACAGGUUUUCGUUGGAGGGGGGGACAGCUCUAGCUUCCCACAGUCUGACAUUUAACCUGCUCCUGAUCAGGUGUCUCCCCCUAAUAUUUGAUGGCUAUAGAUGCUAUGCUGGGAGAACUGGGCCAGCUUUCUUCCCUACCUGCCAGGCUGCAGAUCAGAACCAGCCUGGACUCUGGCUUACAGACCCUCAGUGGUAACAGACACAUUUGUGUCCACAGGCAUAGGAGAGUUAAAUAUCUGGGUGUGGUGGGGCUAUUACCUCCAGGGCUCAGUGGAUGCAUUUACAGCUGCAGUCCUCAGCCCCACAGCUUCUGUUGAACCAAGCCUGCCUCUCCUCCAUUGUUAACAGCUCAGCAUCUUUCCCUGGCUUCUUGCUGGGUCUGUCUGCGCCCCCACCCCCAAUGGCGGCUCUGUUCUGUGAGCCGGGUGGAAAGAUCAGGGGAUGGCUGAUGGUCAUUGACAUCAGUACAGGAUCAUAUGGGCCUACAGAAGGCUGCAUCUGUGGCUGUCAAUAGAUCUCCAUUGAAUUCACAAUAACAAAGGGGCAAAGAAGCAGGACAAUGCCCGAGUUACUAGCCCAUCGUCACUGGCCCAUGAAGUGACAAAAACUAUAGAAAUCUUUGUCUCAGAUCCUUCCAAGAUCCCCCUUUUCCUGAGAGAAGACAGAACUGCCAAGUGCGCUGCCUACUGAGGACAGCUUGGUGAACUGCAAAUGCCACAGCUGCUCCUCCUGAUGGCAUGGUGAGGUUGGCACCUAGGAGGCUUCACCUGGUCCUUCCUGAGCCUGCCCUGCCAGUUUCUCUG